rnacentral:rRNA from 1 species
CGUGCCUAUACUGCAGUCGAACGGAGACAGUAGCAAUAUUGUCUUAGUGGCGAACGGGUGAGUAACGCGUUGGUAACCUGCCCCGAAGUGUGGGAUAACGGUCCGAAAGGGCCACUAAUACCGCAUGUGAUCCCAAGGAACAGAUACUUGGGAUGAAAGGAGCAAUUCGCUUCGGGAGGGGCCUGCGUCCCAUCAGCUAGUUGGUAAGGUAAUGGCUUACCAAGGCGAUGACGGGUAGGGGACCUGAGAGGGUGGCCCCCCACAAUGGAACUGAAACACGGUCCAUACACCUACGGGUGGCAGCAGUAGGGAAUAUUGGUUAAUGUGCGAAAGC